rnacentral:rRNA from 1 species
AGCGAACGCUGGCGGCAGGCUUAACACAUGCAAGUCGAACGCCCCGCAAGGGGAGUGGCAGACGGGUGAGUAACACGUGGGAACGUACCCUUUGGUUCGGAAUAACUUGGGGGAACUCAAGCUAAUACCGGAUAAGCCCUUAUGGGGAAAGGUCUACUGCCGAAGGAUCGGCCCGCGUCCGAUUAGCUAGUUGGUGAGGUAAAGGCUCACCAAGGCGACGGUCAGUAGCUGGUCUGAGAGGAUGAUCAGCCACACUGGGACUGAGACACGGCCCAGACUCCUACGGGAGGCAGCAGUGGGGAAUAUUGGACAAUGGGGGCAACCCUGAUCCAGCCAUGCCGCGUGAGUGAUGAAGGCCUUAGGGUUGUAAAGCUCUUUUACCCGGGACGAUAAUGACUGUACCGGGAGAAUAAGCCCCGGCUAACUUCGUGCCAGCCGCCGCAGUAA